ACGGGGGGUGCAAGCGUUGUUCGGAAUUAUUGGGCGUAAAGAGCGUGUAGGCGGUUGGACAAGUCAGAUGUGAAAGCCCUGGGCUUAACUCAGGAAGUGCAUUUGAAACUGUUCAGCUGGAGUAAGGGAGAGGAAAGUGGAAUUCCUGGUGUAGAGGUGAAAUUCGUAGAUAUCAGGAGGAACACCGGUGGCGAAGGCGACUUUCUGGCCCUAUACUGACGCUGAGACGCGAGAGCGUGGGUAGCAAACAGGAUUAGAUACCC
rnacentral:rRNA from 1 species